rnacentral:SRP_RNA from 10 species
ACCCUAUAACUGGAAACACCCGAAAAGUCCGCCGUCUCGGGGGGAAGCGCUGCUGUGGAACUGCUCAGCGGUGCCUUGCUGAGAUCAGCCGCUCCAUCGAGACGGGCAAGUGGCAACGGGUCUCGUACUACGCCAGGUCCAGAAAGCUGGAGCAGCACGAAGCGAGG